UGGGAAGGUGAUGUCUUCUGAUGUACAUGAUGUUUACUUCACAGACUAAAAAUUCCAAACUAAAAUCCUAGCCCUAAUUUUUGUUUAAAUUUUAAUCGUUUUUUCAAGGGUUUAGGUUAAUUUAGGGGCAAGGUUGUUUUGAUUUCCGGAAUAAACCAAAGAAUUGAGUUAAUUAAAACCCUACUUUAUAAAAUGAUCGCCUCCAGAAUUCUGCAGCUAUUCAUGAGAUUCAUAAGGUAUAUUCUUGGAAGGAUGCCUAAUUGAUUCAACACGGACCUCUUUGAUUCAACCCUUUCCGCUAUGUCCCGUAAAUUCCUAUUCACCCGUCACUCAAAUCAGCUGAACUCACCAUCUACUUUCAGAUAAUUGAAAUAGCCUUUCAGUUGGUUCUUUUAGUGAUACUUUCUUCUGUAGAAUGAAGGAGUUCAUUGAAAAUGCCCCAGUUUCACUUCCAAUCACCGAGGAAAAUCAGAAAUCACAGAGGCAAAAGCUACGAGAUUCCAGAAUUCUGCAGCUAUGAGAUUCUGAAGGAACAAACAAACUGUUAAACAAGAAAGAUAAUUUGAAUGCACAUGAAUCCCUGGGAUGCAGCAUGUAUCGGGUUGUUACUGCCUAGAGGUACUAUCGUUUAUCACCGUUUUAUCGUGAUAAUGCACAUGAAUCCCCUAGGAUCAAAAUUUAUUCAUGUGUUUCCAUUAAGAGAGAAUUACUAGCAAGAAGGCAAAAGGUGUACCAAAAAUAAGAGGUACCGGAAGCAUUUGAGAGAGCUCUCAGUCUUUGAAAAAAUGGGUUGAUGACUAUAUUAAUACUAACAGAAAUCGGGUUAUGUUCAGAAGCACUGAGGACACUGGCGCAAUGUAUACUAAGGGCUUUUCCAGUAUCACUAUCAACCAAGGGAGUUGGUUGAGCUUGGCCAUACUGACAGAGAUCAAGCUGUGUUCGCUGCUUCUCACCCAACACCCGCUAUAAUAUUCCCUUUUGUAGCAGCAACAUGAUGGCUAGAAUAGUCCAAGCGAGAGAAAUUCUGAUAACCUCAGCAGCGCACUGAUCUUCACAGAAUUGAGGUGUUUGCUUGAGGUCUUCUGCUUGAUGAAGGAGCUCUGUCACUAUAUACUUUAACAUGUUUACAUUUGAAGAGGUUGCUGGCGUAAUUUUUUGCAUAUGAAAGAGAUGUUAUGAGGAUUUCUUUAUUCCCAUAAUCAUUGCUCUGCAGUUCAUUGACUAACUCUACUCAUUGCUUUGAAGAUUGCAUUUUUAGAGCAUUUGUAGCGUUACUCAUUGCUCUGAAGAUUGCAUUUUCAGCGUUACUCAAUGAACUACAAAACAAUGAUUAGGGGAGUAAAGAAAUCUUCAGAGUGGUUUUACUCUGCUUGCCAAAACUGCAAUGAAAGACAUGCAAUAAUCAACAACACACUGUGGUGCUACUCUUGCGAUGAAGAAGUCGAGUUUCCAGAAACCAGGUAAAUAUAUUUCGAAAUAGACAUCUGAAGUGUUAGGAAAACAAAUAUCCCUAUCGGAUUCCUGUCGGGAAAGUUCUCAGGUUAUUCGGCGGUAAGUCUAGCAACGCCUAUCUUUAAAAUACAUCUCAUAUAUUUUCUACAUGUAAAAGUUAGAGCACUAAUACAAAAUUACACAAGUUAAAAGCUACUUCACACCGACUUAUUCUUAUUUGUGUUGUUUAGGAUGUAUUUGUAAGGUUGUUGCUUGCAAGACUAGAGCAG